UGCUGGGUUUAGGCUUUAUUUGCUGUUCUUUUUCCAGCUCCUUUACAUGUGAAAUUAGCUUGUGCAUUUGAGACUUUUCUUGUUUCUUGAGAAAGGCCUGUAUUACUAUAUACUUUGCUCUGAGGACCACCUUGGCUGCAUCCCAAAAGGUGCUGAAGUACCUGUUUUCAUUUUCAUUUGUUUUCAUGUAUUUUUAAAUUCUUUAAUUUCCUGGCUGAUCCAUUCAUUCUUUAGUAGGAUGCUCUUAACCUCUACAUAUUUGUAUUCCUUUCAAAUUUUCUCUUCUGAGUGAUAACAAGUUUUAAAGCACUGUGGUCUGAAGAUAUGCAAGGAAUAAUCCCAAUUUUUUGGUACUAGUUGAGACCUGAUUUGUGACCCAAUAAGUGAUCUACUCUGGAGAAUAUUCCAUGUGCACUUGAGAAGAAUGUAUAUUCUGUUGCUUUGGGAUGAAAUGCUCUAAAUAUAUCUAAGUCCUUCUGGCCCAGUGUGUCAUACAAAGCCCUAGUUUCCUUGAUCUUCUGCUUACACAAUCUAUCCAUUGCUGUGAGUGGGGUGUUAAACUACCCUGAUAUUAUUGUAUUACUAUCAAUGUGUUUCUUUAAUUUUGAUAUUAAUUGGUUUAUAUAUUUGGCUGCACCCAAUUUAGGGGCAUAAGUAUUUAUAAUUGUUCGAUCUUCUUUUGGAUAGACCCUUUUAUUAUGAUGCAACAUUUUUCUUCAUCUCUUACUUCAGUCUUGGGUUUAAAAUCUAGUUUGAUAUAAGGAUGGUUACUACUUCAGCUUUGUUUUAAUGUUCAUUAGUAUGAUAAAUGGUUCUCCACUCCCUCACUUUCAAUCUGGAGGUGUCUUUAGGUCUAAAAUGAGUCUUUUGUACACAGCAUAUUAAUGGAUCUUAUUCUUUUUAUCCAAUCUCUUGCCCUACAUCUUUUGAUUGGAGCAUUUUGUCCAUUUAUCUUCAGAGUAAUUAUUGAAAGAUAUGAAUUUAGUGCAUUGUAUUACCUGUAAAGUCACCCUUCUUGGAAAUUGCCUCUGUUCCUCUCUGGUCUUUGUUACUUUUCACCUCUCUCUUCACUUGAAGCAUCUUCUUUAGUAUUUGCCGGGCUGGUUUAGUGUUCAUGAAUUCCUUUAGUUUUUGUUUGUUUUGGAAACUCUUUUGUUUCCUUCUCCUUCUCUCCUUCUAUUCUGAAUGGCAGCCUUGCUGGAUAAAAUAUUCUUGGCUACAAAUUUUUCCCAUUUAGCACAUUGACUAUAUUGUGCCAGUCAUUUCUGGCCUGCCAGGUCUCUGUGGUCAGGUCUGUUGCCAGUCUUGUUUCUACUCUUCUAGCUGCUUUUAGAAUUUUCUCUUUCUCAAAAAAAAAAAAAAAAAAAAAAAGAAGAAGAAGAAUUUUCUCUUUCUCCCUGAAAUUUGCACACUUCACUAUUAUAUGUUGAAAUGUUGAUCUAUUUUUACUCAUUUUUAGGGAGGUUCUCUAUACCACCUAGACUUGAAUAGCCUGCUUCCUUCUCCAGGUUAGGGAAGUUCUCAGCUAUAAUUUGUUCAAAUAAACCUUCUACCCUCCCCUUUCAUCUUCUGAAACCUCCAUAAUCCAUAUUUUAUUUUGCUUUUGUAAUCACUGAUUUCUCAAAGUCUCCCUUUAUGACCUGGUAGUCUUUCUCUCUUCUUUUUAGCUUCCUUAUUUUCCAACAUUUUGUCUUCUGUAUUACUGAAUCUCUCUUCUGCCUCAUUUAUCCAUGUUGUUAGAGCCUCUAUUUUCACUACAUCUCAAUAAUAGCAUUUUAAAUUUCAGCCGGAUUAGAUUUUAGUUCUUUAAUUUCUCCAGUAAAGGAUUCUCUAGUGUUUCAAGCCCAGCUAGUUUAUAAUCAUUGUUUUAAAAUCUAGUUCAGGGACCCCCGGUGGCUCAGCGGUUUAGUGCCUGCCUUCCACCCGGGGUGAUCCUGGGGUCCCAGGAUCAAGUCCCACAUGG
rnacentral:lncRNA from 1 species